rnacentral:rRNA from 1 species
UACGUAGGGGGCAAGCGUUGUCCGGAUUUAUUGGGCGUAAAGAGCGUGUAGGCGGUUUGGUAGGUCCGCUGUGAAAACUCGAGGCUCAACCUCGAGACGCCGGUGGAAACCAUCAGACUAGAGUCCGGAAGAGGAGAGUGGAAUUCCUGGUGUAGCGGUGAAAUGCGCAGAUAUCAGGAAGAACACCCGUGGCUAAGGCGGCUCUCUAGUACGGUACUGACGCCGAGACGCGAAAGCGUGGGGAGCGAACAGG